AUUCAAAGCUUGUUUUCAGUAAUUAUGGUCACAUUCUAGCAAAAUUUAGCAAAGCAUUGUGGUCGCAUUCUAGCAAAAUUUAACAAACUUUGCAACAACUUAUCAAUUUCAGCAACAUUAUAUCAGCUCUUACUCUUUGUUUUUCCAUUGGGUCAGCACAAAACCAUAAAUAACAACCCUUAUCUUGAUUGUUUAAGCAAACAACUGCAGUUUAAACAGCAAAAAACACUGAUUUUAGUACUUAAAUUCAACAACUAACUUGAAUUUUCAAAAUUUAAGCUAGUAAAAUCAAUAACCACUGAUUUCCUCACGUUUAUGUUCUAACUACAACACUUUAUAACAGCAGGAAAGCAGCAAUUUCUUAAUUUCAGAAGUCAGCCGCAACAGCUAGCAACCCAGCAAUCCUCCCAGAUUUUCCCUCAGCUUGAACUCGAAGAGAACCAGUGACGGGUAGCUACGGAUGUUGACAUUGAUGAAGUAGCUCGCAGAACAGAAGGUUACAGUGGUGAUGAUCUGACUAAUGUAUGCCGGGAUGCUUCUCUAAAUGGUAUGAGGAGGAAAAUUGCAGGAAAGACGAGGGAUGAGAUUAAGAACAUGUCAAAGGAUGAAAUCUCUAAGGAUCCUGUGGCCAUGUGUGAUUUUGACGAAGCUCUUACCAAGGUUCAGAGAAGUGUAUCUGCUGUUGAUAUUGAGCGACAUGAGAAAUGGUUUUCUGAGUUUGGCUCGGCAUGAUAAUCAGAUUAAAAUGACUAACUUUGUUCAUAUAGUCACGAUCUUGUCAAAGAUCUGCAUUGCAACUUUUAGUUAAACCAUGUUUCUUUUUUUCCUUACUGGAAUGCUUGUGAAGCAGCCCUGUGGCAGUACAUCCUUGCAUCAGUUGUGAGCAUGAUUCUGUACAUGGAUCAACAUGUAAGGGCUUCUUAAAGAGCAAAGAACAUAAACUGUUUGAUCGGCAUAUAGGUUUGGCAGAAUUUGUAAAGACCAACAAGUGUUCAUUUUGUUUUUAAUUACGUUAGAUGAUGAAAGAAAAGCUGGUUUUAGUUAUGAUUUAAUGUGAUUUUUUAGCUACUCAACGAUUUUGGAUGUAAUUCUAAUAGAGCAAACGGUAUUGGGUUGGAAUUCAUUUUCUUCUCUUGUGAAACUAUUCGGAAUUUCUGCAUU